GCCUAACACAUGCAAGUCGAGCGCCCCGCAAGGGGAGCGGCAGACGGGAGAGUAACACGUGGGAACGUACCCUUCAGUUCGGAACAACCCAGGGAAAACUUGGGCUGAUACCGGAUACGUCCGUAAGGAGAAAGAUUUAUCGCUGAAGGAUCGGCCCGCGUUCUGAUUAGCUUGUUGGUGAGGUAACGGCUCACCAAGGCUACGAAUCAGUAGCUGGUCUGAGAGGAUGAUCAGCCUCACUGGGACUGAGACACGGCCCAGAACUCCUACGGGAGGCAGCAGUGGGGAAUAUUGGACAAUGGGCGCAAGCCUGAUCCAGCCAUGCCGCGUGGGUGAUGAAGGCCCUAGGGUUGUAAAGCCCUUUCGGCGGGGAAGAUAAUGACGGUACCCGCAGAAGAAGCCCCGGCUAACUUCGUGCCAGCAGCCGCGGUAAU
rnacentral:rRNA from 1 species